rnacentral:lncRNA from 1 species
GACAGAAGGUAGGGUUUGGGGGGAGAGCCUGUCUUGUGGCAAAGGGUUUUUUGUAACAUAAGAAAGAAUCAGAAACUUCGAUGUACAAAAGAGCUUUUAAUCAAAAUGAAUGGGGACUGAGGUUGGGACUCAGUGGAUAGUGUAAUCAGUUAGAAUGCAAGAAGCCCUGGGUUUGAUUCCCAGUACCACAAAAAAACAAAACAAAACAAACAAAAAAAAAAAACAGGCAUUGUGAUGGUUUUUAUGUGCUUGGCCCUGAGAGUGGCACUAUCAGAAUGUGUGGCCCUGUGGGAGUAGGUGUGACCUUGUUAGAGUAUGUGUGUCACUGUGGGCAGGGGCUUUAAGACCCUCAUCCUAGCUGCCUGGAAGCAAGUAUUCUGCUAGCAGCCUUCAGAUGAAGAUGGAGAACUCUCAGCUCCUCCUGCACCACGCCUGCCUGGAUGCUGCCAUGCUCACACCUCGAUGAUAAUGACCUGAACCUCUGAACCUGUUCCUCCUCCAGGUCAGAGCCCUUUCAGUCAGAAGUCUGCUUCCUGGGAGCCUGAACCACAGAACUGUGGCUGAAAUCCAGACAGCUGACGUCACCUGUCCAGAUGGCGGAAACUGUUGCUCAACAAAAGGAAAUUGAUGCCAAUCCCUUACUUCUCUGUGACCCUCCCUCUCUCACCCCCUCCCCCUCUCUCUGAGCCCAGAAAAGUGUUUUCCUAGACAGAAGGAAGCUGAGCAGUCUGGGGAAAUAGCUUUGGCCUUGACCUCAUGCCCGCUGCCACGUGUGGAGUUCAAGGCUGGUUACUUCAGCUGACAAAUGUUGCAAGGCUGAGCCCUGGAUGCCCAGUCAGAAGAUCAAGCUUUAGAAACAAAGGCUGAAUCCCUGUCUUUUGGUUUAGAGAACUGCCCCACUCACUUCACUGGAGUUUGAAGCUCUUUCCUUCUUUGAGCCUGCUGUGAGGUUGGCUCACUGGCACUCAGUAACCCACACUUUUCUCACCAGUCCCUGAAUGAUCUUCUUCAAUGUAUCUUGGCAGCACCCAAGACAGACAUUUAAUAGAGACCAUUGCAGGUUGGGAGGCUGAGGCAAGUUCAGGACCAGCCUGAGCCACAUAGGAAACCUUGUCUCAACCCUUUUUCCUGGUCCCUCAAAAAAAUAAAUUAAUCUAAAUACAUAGGAGGCAGAAACAGGCAGAUCUCUUGUGAGUUUAAGGUCAACUGGGUCUACGCAAUUAGUCCCUGUCUCAAAAGAUGGAAAAAGAAGAGAAAAGCCUUCCCCCUUCCCGGCAUAACCAAUCUGUGGUGAGAGAAGCGGAAGCUGUGGCUGUCUGGUCGGAGGAGGAAAGGGGUGCUGCAUAGUGAUUGGAAAGAGGAAGGGGAGACGUCCCUGGAUGCUAUCGCAGCAGGGAAAGCCUCACCAGCUGCACACUUAAGAUUCGCAUGCUGUGCUGUGCCUCAGUGAAUUAAACAACAAAGGGCAAAUAAAC